GAUGAACGCUGGCGGCGUGCCUAAUACAUGCAAGUCGAGCGAACAGACGAGGAGCUUGCUCCUCUGACGUUAGCGGCGGACGGGUGAGUAACACGUGGAUAACCUACCUAUAAGACUGGGAUAACUUCGGGAAACCGGAGCUAAUACCGGAUAACAUGUUGAACCGCAUGGUUCAACAGUGAAAGACGGUCUUGCUGUCACUUAUAGAUGGAUCCGCGCCGCAUUAGCUAGUUGGUAAGGUAACGGCUUACCAAGGCAACGAUGCGUAGCCGACCUGAGAGGGAGAUCGCACACCCGGGAACUGAGACACGGCCCAGACUCCUACGGGAGGCAGCAGUAGGGAAUCUUACGCAAUGGGCGAAAUCCUGACGGAGGAACGCCGGGGGAGGGAAGAAGGUCUUCGGAUCGUAAAACUCUGUUAUUAGGGAAGAACAAAUGUGUAAGUAACUAUGAACGUCUUGACGGUACCUAAUCAGAAAGCCACGGCUAACUCCGUG
rnacentral:rRNA from 1 species